rnacentral:rRNA from 1 species
GGAUGAACGCUAGCGGCAGGCUUAAUACAUGCAAGUCGAGGGGCAGCAGGUCUGUAGCAAUACAGAUGCUGGCGACCGGCAAACGGGUGCGGAACACGUACAGAACCUUCCUUCGAGCGGGGAAUAGCCCAGAGAAAUUUGGAUUAAUACCCCAUAGUAUAUUGAAGAGGCAUCUCUUUAAUAUUAAAGAUUUAUCACUUGAAGAUGGCUGUGCGGCUGAUUAGGUAGUUGGCGGGGUAACGCCCACCAAGCCUACGAUCAGUAACUGGUGUGAGAGCACGACCAGGUCACACGGGCACUGAGACACGGGCCCGACUCCUACGGGAGGCAGCAGUAAGGAAUAUUGGUCAAUGGACGCAAGUCUGAACCAGCCAUGCCGCGUGGA